AUUGAACGCUGGCGGCAUGCUUUACACAUGCAAGUCGAACGGCAGCGCGGGCUUCGGCCUGGCGGCGAGUGGCGAACGGGUGAGUAAUGCAUCGGAACGUGCCCAGUAGUGGGGGAUAGCCCGGCGAAAGCCGGAUUAAUACCGCAUACGACCUGAGGGUGAAAGCGGGGGACCGAAAGGCCUCGCGCUAUUGGAGCGGCCGAUUUCGGAUUAGCUAGUUGGUGGGGUAAAGGCUUACCAAGGCGACGAUCCGUAGCUGGUCUGAGAGGACGACCAGCCACACUGGGACUGAGACACGGCCCAGACUCCUACGGGAGGCAGCAGUGGGGAAUUUUGGACAAUGGGGGCAACCCUGAUCCAGCUAUGCCGCGUGCGGGAAGAAGGCCUUCGGGUUGUAAACCGCUUUUGUUCGGGAAGAAAUCCUCUGGGCUAAUACCCCGGGGGGAUGACGGUACCGGAAGAAUAAGCACCGGCUAACUACGUG
rnacentral:rRNA from 1 species